AGUAAAGUAAGCUAAAAUAAGCUAGUGGGUUCAUACCCCAAAAAUGAGUUAUCCUUUAUUA
rnacentral:tRNA from 1 species